rnacentral:lncRNA from 1 species
GAGGAGGACGGGAGGCACCCCCGGUCCAGCAGGCAGCGGGCGGUCCCCCGGGCCCACCCAGCACUCCAAGGCCAGCCAGCUUGGCUCCAGCAGGGCGGGCCCCACAUCCGCCUGCCCCACCUGCAAGCGUCAGGGACCCCGACCCCGCGGCUCCUCCGGCCGCUCUUGAGAAAGGCAGAGGGCCUGGGGCAGCCAGCCUGGCCAAGCCUCGGUCCCCAGAGGGCCUGUCAGCUCUCACCCGAUAACCUGUCUGAGUCACUCCAUGACUGUCAUUCUGUCUCCUCUUCGCAAGUCGGCCUCGGCACCUCACGGCCCGUGGACAAACCUGGAAGCCCUUGCCUGGCCGUCGUUGGAGCCACGUGGCCCCAGGAGCGCCCGGGCUCAGCCCAGCCAAGACGUCCCCGAGCCUGGCUCAAGCUGCACACCGCCCACCUCCGCGUCCCCACACUCCCCCCCACCCCACCCCCGAGGGUGUCUUGCCCUGAGACCUGGGUGGGACCUCUCGUGUUCAGUGUCCAGAACUGGGCCUGGCUCACUGGGGAGAGAGCAAGGCGAACGCACGCAGACACACAGGCCUGACAAAGGCUCACAGCUGUUGACAGAAAGAGCCCGGGACACACCUAGAGGCGGCAGGAGAGACUUCACGCAGGCCCCUGCAGUGGGGAGAGACCCCACAAGGACUCCAGGGUUUAAAGGGAGAGCAGGAGUCUCCCGGUGGCUCAGCCAGUUAAGCAUCUGAGGCUGUCACUGCUGUGGCACAGUUUCGAUCCCUGGCUCAGAACUUCUUCAUGCCUCGAGUGCGGCCAAACAAUAAAUAAAUAAAGGGAUGACGUUUUCGUUGUGG